rnacentral:rRNA from 1 species
CCUACGGGAGGCAGCAGUGGGGAAUAUUGGGCAAUGGAGGAAACUCUGACCCAGCGACGCCGCGUGCGGGAUGAAGGCCUUCGGGUUGUAAACCGCUUUCAGUAGGGAAGAAGCGAAAGUGACGGUACCUACAGAAGAAGCACCGGCUAACUAUGUGCCAGCAGCCGCGGUAAUACAUAGGGUGCAAGCGUUGUCCGGAAUUAUUGGGCGUAAAGAGCUCGUAGGUGGUUCGUCACGUCGGAUGUGAAAAAUCUGGGGCUCAACCCCAGACCUGCAUUCGAUACGGGCGAUCUAGAGUGUGGUAGGGGAGACUGGAAUUCCUGGUGUAGCGGUGGAAUGCGCAGAUAUCAGGAGGAACACCAAUGGCGAAGGCAGGUCUCUGGGCCAUUACUGACACUGAGGAGCGAAAAGCGUGGGGAGCGAACAGGAUUAGAUACCCUGGUAGUCCACGCCGUAAACGGUGGGCACUAGUUGUGGGAACCUUCCACGGUUUCUGCGACGCAGCUAACGCAUUAAAGUGCCCGCCUGGGGAGUACGAUCGCAAGAUUAAAACUCAAAAGGAAUUAGACGGCGUGNGAGNGCGAGNGACACGAGGAGAG